CUGAAUUGCCCACCUGGGCUGGAAUUUAUGUAAUCCUUCUCCUUUAAUCUUAAUGAGUGCUGGAAUUAGAGGCCUGUGCCACCUUACCCACCUUUGGUUCUUUGGCUUUGUUGAUUGUUGUAGAGCAUCAUCCCUUUCCAGGGCAAAUUAUUCCCCACUGAUGGGCCAAGCCUUUCUGAGUUCUCUACCGAUUCCCAUGAACUCAGGGUUUUCCUAUCUGUCUGGGGGACAGGUUUCUGCUGUCCAUGUGUGAGUCCCAUUCUCACACUCUUCUCUGUGCUUCUUUCCCUUUCGUACAGUGACACUU